rnacentral:rRNA from 1 species
UACGUAGGGUGCAAGCGUUGUCCGGAAUUAUUGGGCGUAAAGAGCGUGUAGGCGGCUCGAUUAGUCCGCUGUGAAAGUCCAGGGCUCAACCCUGGAAGUGCCGGUGGAUACUGUCGAGCUAGAGUCCGGAAGGGGCGAGUGGAAUUCCUGGUGUAGCGGUGAAAUGCGCAGAUAUCAGGAGGAACACCAAUGGCGAAGGCAGCUCGCUGGGACGUGACUGACGCUGAGACGCGAAAGCGUGGGGAGCGAACCGG